CCCAGGGCUCUGCAUUCAGUUUCAUUUUUCCUUUCACACCAUCCCCCCCCCCCCCCCCCGCUUGGGCUCCGGGUCACUGGAUUUUCCCUGGAGCCGCUGGUGGAGCCCGCAGCGUGCCGGGGACCUGGCCUGUCCCCCUCCUGGCUCCCUCCCCGCCCCAGCCUGGACCCAGCCUCUUCUCAGUUACUUAGGUACUCUGCCACUGUGGUCCCCCCAGUAUGCCGCUUCUGCCUUAUGGGCUCUUCGUAUACCACUUGGCAACCCUGCUGGGGAGAUGCCUUCUUCAGAUCAGGUUUGUCCCCAAGGCGGGGGCCUUGAGAGUCUGGGCGGGCAGGAGUCGAUUUGUUUCGGGGUCCCUGAUUCUAGAAGAACUAUCCGAAGGUAGCUUGCCAGAAGGCAGCCUCUUUCUUGGGAGCGUUUCUCUGAUCCAGCCUGGUGCUGGGAUGGAGCAAGCAGACGUACUCUCCUUACUUCCUCGGGUCUCAGGUGCUUGAUCGGACAGUGGCUGGAGAGCUAUCUUGAGCAGGGUUCUGGACUCCUUGGAGAGAGAGUCAUAAUUGAUUAGUAAAUGGCUGCUGGGGGCCCAGGACUUCGGAUAGGAGAGCACAUUGGCUUCAUCACUGUGCCUCCAGCAUGCACUGGGUCCUCAGAGCUAUCCUCUCCCAUCGUGCCCCUACAUCUUCAAGUAUAAUACAUGCUGCCUGAAAACAGCCUGUGGCUUUGGGUUCUUCAUCAGUCAAAUGGGCACGGUGGUGACAUACCCCCAAGGGGCUGGGAGGCUUGGAGGAACGGCCUCCCUGUUCUCCAGCAGGGCCUGGACUCAGAGGCCCUGAGCUGCGUUGUCCAAAGUCACGCAGCUGGGAGAUGGCAGAGGUGGGAUUUCAACUCUGGGCCCCUGCAUCAGGGACAUCGGGUGGAACAGUUGGGCCGGGGAGCAGGAGGCACUGCCCGGAUCUCCCUGUGACCCCGGACACCACUUCUCCUUUCUGCCCAGUGCACUCAGCACACAGGAAGCCUGGCUGGGGCCUCCCUUGCCCAUCCUGUCUGCAGCGGGUGGACAUGGGGUCCUGGCGUCACCCGCCACCACCCCGGGCCUCCCUCUUCCUGUCUUGUGCAAGACGAGGCGUCCCCUGCGUGGAAUGGGCAGGCGGCUCCGGCGGAUGGGUGGACGGGUGAAUAGGGGCCUCUCCGGCGGGGUCACUGCCCGCAGUUAGCGCUAGCAGGCCUGGCCUAGGCCCCGGCCCCUUCCUCCUCCUCCUCUGUUUCUCCCAAGUUCAGCAGCCUGAAGCAAGAGGCUGGGGGACCCAGGAAAUUGGGGAGGUCACUCAGCCAGCAUCGUGUCCCUGUUGGGGGACCGCCUGGGCUCGGGCUGUUAUGGAACGGGCCCUAAGCCACGAUGACAACUCUAAUGACAAAGAGGCGCACCCUCGCUGCGCGCCUUCUGUGCGCCGGGCAUGGCCUCCUCUAAACACCAACAUUUAUGUGAGCACCUGCUGUUUGCCAUGUGCUGUUCUAAGCCCUUUAGAUCUAGUGUCCCAGCGAAUCCCCACAAAAAUCUUGGGAGGUAGUUUUUUGUUGUCGUACUGUCUUAAUGGUCCCUUUCUUCAGAGGAGGACACAGGCUCUGAGAAGAGGAGCGGCCGGCCCGCAGUCACACAGCUCAGCCGCGUCCUGCGGGUCAUUGUCUAUGACCCGGGGCCAGUACUGUUCCAGAAGGCAGGUGGCCCAGAAGGGAGGUCCGUUCGGCCACUCUCCCACCGAGCAGCCCGUGGCAUGUGGGUGGCCCCUCUGGUCCUCAGUUUUCCCAUCUGUACCAGCUCUGGUUUCUCAGCCUUCUGUUCUUGGGUCAGAAGCAGCGUGGGAAGAGAGAGGGACGGAAGACACCUCUGGGAAGGUCACAGUCCCAGGUCCUCUCCGUGUCUACCUGGGGGGGCACACUUGUGGCUGUGGUCCUGAGUCACUCAGGCUGCAGAGUGUGGGGCAGACGUGAGAGACCCUAGCCGGGGGAGGGGGUAGUGGGCACGUAGAUGCGCUGGGGCAAUGCAGACACGUGUUCUGCUCCUUCUCACAGAGGUUCCUGGAUGCUGAGCCCACAGAGGCGACCUUUUCACCUCCCUUCCUGUCUCACUUCCUCAUUCCCCGCUGGCGUUUCUGGAAUCACCUCCCAAAUAAAAUGCUUGUACUCCAAGCCUUGUCUUUGCCCACCUAAGCCAGCAUCGGUACCGUGUGGGGGUUAAGAGCUUUGGAAUUAGACCUGAGUUUAAAUCCUGGCGCUGCCCCUGCCUUGUCUGUGACCUUGGGAACCUGCCCCUUCUCUUAGAACCUCAGUUCCUCCAUCUGUGAAACAGGAACUUCGAAUCGGAGAACCAAGUGAUGAUGAGAUGCACGGGGAGUUUGGCGUCACGGGGACCGGAGCCAAGUUCCCAGCUCUCCAGCGCCCAGCACAGUGCCCAGAACGUAAUCCGUGCUCAACAAACAUUUGCUGAAUGACCGAACAAACAACUCUACGAGUUCUUGGCAGAUAAGGACACGGAGGUCCCUCGGGGGAAUUAUGCUGAGCACAGUCGAUCCCAAAGGGUUCCAUACCACAUGAUGCCCUUCACGUGUCGUUCGUGAACUCACACCACUCUAGAGAUGGAGAAUAGAAGGAUGCCUUUUACAGAUACAGAACCAAGUCCUGACAGCCCAAUGAUCUGCCUCAGCUCACACAGCAGGAAGAGGCUUUGAAGUCUUGUCUGUGGGGCUCUCGGCCUCCUGAAUGAUGGAUGUGAACUGGGCUGGCUGUCGGUCAACAAACACCUGUGGGGGCCCACUGCGGCCUAGAGGAACAGAGCAAGUUCUGGGUGACUUAGCACCAGUCACAGCACCUAGGAGGUACGCAGAAAAUAUUGGUCACGUGAACGAAAAGAAGGGAUAAAUGAAUAAACAAGUAAGUCCACAUAAGAUAAUGAUCAUGGCCAGUGCUGUUUGAGUGCCUACUGUGUGCAGGCCUGUCGUGGGCCUCCUGUGUGAGGGUUUCACGGAACGGGCGUCCUCGGAGGGAGGGACGGUGGUCAUCCGCCUCCCACGAUGAGAAGACCACAGUGCAGAGAGGGGCUGUCCAGCGCUCGAGGCCUCAUGGCAAGGAAGUGACAGGGUUGGCCCUGGAGCCCAGGCCUCCCAGGUCUCGGGCUGCCCGCUUGCCUCGGCAUUUUGUGUGCUCUGCCACGUAUCAUCCUACCCACCCCGUGAAGUCGCAGGUAGCAUUGUCUCCUUUUACAGUCACGAAAACCGAGGCCCGGAGAGGCGAAGUCACGUGCUCAACAUCACACGACAGGUGGGUUUGGAUCUACGUUCCACACUUUGGACCACCAAGCCCUGCCCCUUGUAAUCCUGCGCCUGGAAGAGCUUUCAUCCACCCCAAGGGGAAAGAAGGACAUAUCACACAGCGCUUUGAAUUACACUUAUUUAUAUCUUGCCCUCCUCCCAGAGGGCAGAAAGGUGCCAGAUUCAUUUCUGGGCUCGAUGCCAGGCCCCGAGCAGAUCCUGGUUAGAUCUGGCGAGCGAACUGUUAGAUGCUGCAUUUGCAGUGCUCUGGACCCACCCAGCACCCAUUUGCCCUCUCUGCUGGAGAAGAGGCUGCGAUUUUCCUUGGGGUAUCUCUACCUUCUUGGUCUGUGUGUAUCAGGUGAGCUGACCCCAUCCCCAGGGGUAGACUCAGGACCCAGGCCUGGCCAAUCAGAACUUCCCAGGCCCCUGGCCACAGUGAUUGGUUCACGGAUGGACACGGAUCCAAUCAAAGCCAACAGAACCCAAUUCUCUGGAAAAGAAGAGAAGACGUCGUUGCCUUGAGAUGGCUGAGCUAAUGUGAUAUCAGCCUGGAGCAACAGUGGCUUCUGUGUCAUCACAAUAGCAAAGAGUGUCUGAAAAUACAGCCAAUAUAAGGCAAAGUGGAGCUGAGAGAUGGACACAGCUCAAGUACCAAAAACAUCAUUGCUGCUCCUGGAUCCAGCUGUACCUGAAGGAGAAUAACCCUGAACUUCUUAGUGAUAGAAGCCAAGAUAUUUUUCUCUCUCAUUCUCUCUUUUAAAGCUUUUUUGGGUUAGGUUUCCAUUGCUUGAAUUGCCAGAAUUCCUGACAAAGACAUGAGCUUUCUUCACAAUCUGUCUCUUGCCAUCUCACUGCUUAGCCCUCUCUGCAUGGCCCUGUGUGAAAUUACCUCUCGAGGAACUGCUCUGAAUCUUUACCCACGGAGCUGAUGUGCUUCUUUCUUUCCUCACUCUUGGAUGAUGCGAGUAAUGAUCACUGGUUCUAGCUGCCUUGAGCAACUUCUGAAACAAGGCAGGGGGGCAAAUAGAAUAACCUAAAAGAGGUAAAAUGGGCUCAUUUUAAGGCCAGGCCUUCAGCCCGAUGGCUGCUCAGCAUGGGCCUUGGCACGCAGAGGAUGCUUCUUGACCAUUCUUUGCUUGAUAAUGUCAGGCAAGUUUUUCAAACCUGGACAUAAAGGGCAUUCUGGAGCAGAACUUCUCCGUGAAGUGCCCUAAUCAGAAUUUCUUCCUCCAGAAUUGGUUAGGAGAGGGUUUCUCAGUCCCCGCACUAUCGGCAUUUGUGGGGCCGAUCAUUCUUUGUCGCGGGGCCGUCCUGUGCCCUGUAGGAUAGUUGAGCAGAACCCUCAUUUCUUUACCCACUAGAUGCAAGUAGCACCCAUGCCUGGAGCUGUGACAAGCACAGAUGUCUUCAGACAUUGCCACAUGUCUCCUGGGGGGUAAACUCACCGCUGGUUUAAGGAAAGCACUUUGCACCAGACCUGGCAUGUGGCAAGCGCUGGAUAUAUACC